rnacentral:lncRNA from 1 species
UAAUAUACAAAUCAUUUAUUACAUUUUGAAAACAAACCAUCAUUAUCACAUAAAGGUUGAUGAAAUAUUUGUAAACUCCCUGUUACUUAGCUUCAUGUGCAUGUAAAUGGUUCUCUAUGCAAGCAGCCCAAUUGACUGACAACAGUAACUUCUUUCUAAUCACUGAAAAGCCAUGUAAAGUCUUGGGUGGCCUACUUGUUGAAUUUACUUAGUGGAUUUACAGUUUUUGGUCUUAAAACAUGUAAUGGCAAGUGUAAUUCCUUGACUUGGGGCUCCGAACUUUACACAUCACUUUGACCAAAGGCUCACUUGAGUCAAUUUGUCAUGUCAUACAAGGUCAUUACUUGGUAUAUACUUAACAUAUUAACUACUUAAUCAUAUAGAUAAUUUUAACAAAACAGAAAAAGCAAGUUUAUACUUCUUUUUUUUUUAGCACACAACAACAUUAGGCAAAAGAAAAACUAGUUCUCAUUAAAAUCC